GACAGAGGGGGCAAGCGUUGCUCGGAAUUACUGGGCGUAAAGGGCGCGUAGGCGGGAUGGCAAGUCGGUCGUGAAAUCCCUCGGCUCAACCGAGGAACGUCGAUCGAUACUGCUGUUCUUGAGGAUUGCAGAGGAGACUGGAAUUCCCGGUGUAGCGGUGAAAUGUGUAGAGAUCGGGAGGAACACCGGUGGCGAAGGCGGGUCUCUGGGCAAUUCCUGACGCUGAGGCGCGAGAGCGUGGGGAGCAAACGGG
rnacentral:rRNA from 1 species